GUUCGAUUCGAGCGCAGCGAGAAAGCGUUGCCGCAGGCAACGACCCGAAGGGUGAGGAGCGGAGCGACGAAUAAUCCUUCCCCCACCACCA
rnacentral:sRNA from 1 species